GACGAACCGUGCGAACGUUGUUCGGAAUCACUGGGCUUAAAGGGCGCGUAGGCGGCUUGCCAAGUCCGGGGUGAAAGCCUCCAGCUUAACUGGAGAAGUGCCUUGGAUACUGGCGAGCUCGAGCGAGGUAGGGCAGAUGGAACUUCCGGUGGAGCGGUGAAAUGCGUUGAUAUCGGAAGGAACGCCGGUGGCGAAAGCGAAUCUGUUGGACCGUCUUCUGACGCUGAGGCGCGAAAGCUAGGGGAGCGAACGGG
rnacentral:rRNA from 1 species